rnacentral:piRNA from 1 species
UCCCACUCCUGUAAACCGAGUUUUCUGGCA